rnacentral:lncRNA from 12 species
AAACUGGCCUAGCUUCCCUACUAUUGGUGACACAGUCAUUAUGUGCUAAAGGCGGGGAUGGGGGGUGAGGAAUCUAACUUGUGAAUCAAAUCAUAACUCACUUUGUGGGCUCAGUCACUUGUAAACGUUCCAAUGACGAGUUUUUCUUCUUCAGCGCCUUAGAGCAGGCUCAGUGAAGGCUAGAGAGGUUUAUUAGCUGCUGAAUAUAGACGUGAGACGGUAGAGUUUAGUAUCAAUACCAAAGUGAGCUGCUGUCUCAUACUCCUUGUCUAGACAGGGCAAGGCUUCUGAGAUCAGUCUCCUCUUUCUCAUAUUUUCUUUGAGAGAUUGGAAGGCAGAUCUUCAGGGAUACAACUUCACAGGAGAGGGCUGAGGCUGUGGUUGCCCUGGGAAGACAAAUGGAAGAGUCCUUGCCUCUGAAAGACUAAAGAUCCUUCUCUCUCCCUCCCUCCCUCCUUUCCUCCCUCCCUUCCUCCCAUCUUUCCUUCCAUGUCUCUGUCUCUGUCUCUUUUCUAGAUCCUAAUCAAAAUAACUUUGGGGUAAAAGAAGUGUCUGGCAAAUAGUAGGAGCACAGCAAAUAGCUUUUGAGAGAUUAUAGAGUGAAAGUGUGUUCUUGGGGGCAAAUGGAGACCUGAUCAGGGGGGACACACUGGUUUCAACUUGCAUGCCAACUUCUCUCAGUUGAUACGGUUCUGUGUGAAAAGAAGUUUUGACAUUGUCUCCAGACUCAGUAAGGAAGAGGGCCUUAACCAAAGCCCUUUACUGCGAAGUGAAAAAAAUCACCCAAAUUGCUUCAGUGCUUCAAUCACCCCCAUUGACUAAACAUUGGCGCAGUGAGGAAAAACAUGCGUUGAACUUUCCUGAGAAAUCUCCAGUUGUGGUGUUGCCCUGGCUUGUGCAUUUGGCACUCAUAAUGGAUGGGAUACUGACUUUCAUCCUAGAGGCACUGCUCCAUAUUUGGAUGAUAUCUACUGCUACCACAUGGGACAUUGUCAGCUGGACCGAUUUUUCUCUCUCCAUUUGAGCAGUAUUUUUAGGAUCUCCCGAGAUAACUUUGUUCAACGACUUCCCACCAGACAGGAUAUUUAAUGCAAUUAUUUCUCUCUACAUUGGCCUCAAACUGAACUUUAGCACAGACAUUCUUAUCAACUCACUUUAAAAAAAAUUUUUUUUUAUUGGAGUUCAAUUUGCCAACAUAUAGCAUAACACCCUCAACUCACUUUUGAAUUCAAACUGGCCAUUCAUUUGGUGUUUCUCUUUCUUUGUCACAUUAUUAAAAUCCUGAGUUCCUGUGGUCGAAAAUCUCACCACAAUAUGCAGAAGUAGGAAGCACUAGAACAGUGUAAGUGAAAUAUCUCUAGCCUUGUGCUUUGCUUGCCUUCUAAGAGUUAACUUUAACAUGAAGGAUUUGGCACCACGGUGUGUCCUAACACCCUCAAUUGACAGAAGGUAAUAGGGUGAUAAUAGAUAGAUUCAGGCCAAGAAGAUUUUCCUACUGUUAUCAAUUCAAUUUCAGUGAAGGAAGUUUCAGUGGCAAUCAUAUUGCUCCCACUCCUUCUCUAUCAAGGAAUGAGUACAAUUUAGAUAGUUUGCCUAAGAGUAAAAUAAUAUCAACAAAUGUAAAACCAGCCCGAUACUCUCAUUUUCUUGGCGAGGCACAUCAAGAUAUGCUAGCGAGCUGUCAGAGGCUGUAAAUCUAGCUAAUCUCCCUUGUAGCGCUUUCUAAUCUUUCUCUUCAGCUCAGAGAAGAACCAUGUCCCCUGCUAAUUCUAUGUUAGGUUAAUUGGAUUGGCUGUGUAAUAUUCAAUUGAGAUUACCUCCAUAAAAUUUAUUUGUAAAUUUUAUUCCUUAAGUAGUGACAGAGUGAGAUAGUCCUUUUUUUUUUUGGACUUACUGCAGCUAACAUCCCCCUAAAGGUGAAAAUAUGUUUAAGGCAUUUGGAUUUAUUAAGGAAAGAAAAAUAUAGUCACAAAACGGAAAAAGAAGAGAGAGAGAAAGAGACACAGAGAGAGGGAGGCAACAAC